rfam:Ovis aries breed Texel chromosome 3, whole genome shotgun sequence.
CAAGAGGCUUUUUAGAAGCCCCCAAUAUAAAAUAAAAAGCUUUUU